AAAAAAGCCAAAGGCAAUGCUUCAACAACACUGAACGCACUUUCAUGGAAGUCCUGCCAUUUUAUGGCAGAGGAGCCUGAGGGGAACUUAGGUAAUGGCUUCUCUUUAGUUAAAGGAAAAGAAUUCUCUGGGCCCCUGGUUGCUGCCACAAAGAGAGACUUCAGAUCUCAAAGGUUGAUUUUACCGUGGCUUUGGAAACGUGAUCUGCAGGUUCUUAAUAGGAGAGUUUGAUUUACGAAAAGAUUCCAGUUUCCUGGAUAUCAACAAAGAAAUUGAAUGAAGGUAGCAAAAUGAUACAAGGAACCAUCCGCUAAUGCCAUGGCAUCCAUUGAAUCUCCCAUGGGCCAGAAAUCUGAAGACCCAUCCUAAGGUCUACUUGAAGAGGUACUCCUCUUGCUUUGGGGAAAUAGAAGCUGGACCUCCACUGCAACCCAGAGGGAGUCUUGCCAGAUUUCCACUCCUUUGGGUCACUCUUUGUUCCCCACCAGCACCCGGACAAUGCCCCGAGUUUCGAGGGACUCUUCUCCUUACCUGUGCUUUUAAGCCCCACACCCACUGUGGAGCUUGAUCAAGCACUACAGAGGACUUCGCUAUCCCUGGCACCCCAACAACAAUUUUUUUUUUCCAGUCAGGACACACCUCACAACCACUGCUCUUCAAAAAGCCAAAACCUCCGCUCCCACCCACCAAAAGAAAAAUAAAGGAUUU
rnacentral:lncRNA from 1 species